rnacentral:snRNA from 1 species
GUGCUGAUAUGUGGUUUUAUAAUAAAUUCUCCUCCCCCCCCCCCCCCCCCCCAAGUGGAGGUCGUCCAUUGCACUGCGGUCUGCUGAAGCUUGCCUCUUCCCCUAAUCGGGGCAGAUGGGGCAUGUAAUUUUUGGUAGUGGGGCUAGGCGUUCGCGCCGGCCCCUU